rnacentral:rRNA from 1 species
UACGUAGGGUGCGAGCGUUAAUCGGAAUUACUGGGCGUAAAGCGUGCGCAGGCGGUUAUGUAAGACAGGUGUGAAAUCCCCGGGCUUAACCUGGGAAUGGCAUUUGGGACUGCAAGGCUGGAGUGUGGCAGAGGAGACUGGAAUUCCUGGUGUAGCAGUGAAAUGCGUAGAUAUCAGGAGGAAUACCGAUGGCGAAGGCAGGUCUCUGGGCUGACACUGACGCUCAUGCACGAAAGCGUGGGGAGCAAACAGG